AUUGAACGCUGGCGGCAGGCUUAACACAUGCAAGUCGAGCGGAGAUGAGGUGCUUGCACCUUAUCUUAGCGGCGGACGGGUGAGUAAUGCUUAGGAAUCUGCCUAUUAGUGGGGGACAACAUUCCGAAAGGAAUGCUAAUACCGCAUACGCCCUACGGGGGAAAGCAGGGGAUCUUCGGACCUUGCGCUAAUAGAUGAGCCUAAGUCGGAUUAGCUAGUUGGGGGGGUAAAGGCCUACCAAGGCGACGAUCUGUAGCGGGUCUGAGAGGAUGAUCCGCCACACUGGGACUGAGACACGGCCCAGACUCGUCCGGGAGGCAGCAGUGGGGAAUAUGGGACAAUGGGCGGAAGCCUGAUCCAGCCAUGCCGCGUGUGUGAAGAAGGCCUUUUGGUUGUAAAGCACUUUAAGCGAGGAGGAGGCUACCUGGAUUAAUACUCUAGGAUAGUGGACGUUACUCGCAGAAUAAGCACCGGCUAACUCUGUGCCAGCCGCCGCAGUAAAAC
rnacentral:rRNA from 1 species